rnacentral:rRNA from 1 species
UAGCAUAUAUUAAAGUUGUUGCGGUUAAAAAGCUCGUAGUUCGAGUUCCGUUCCGGACUGGCCGGGGAGGUCACCGCCCGGUGCCUGCCCGCCAGCCUCCGGACAGCUCAAGCCCCGCCGGUUCUACGCCGGGGUGCUCUUCGCCGAGUGUCCCGCGCGGCCGGCACGUUUACCUUGAACAAAUAAGAGUGCUCAAGGCAGGCUACUCUUCAAACCUAUGCCCGAGAGAUAACUGCAUGGAAUAAUGAAACAGGAUCUCGGUCUCAUUUCUGAUUGGCUCUGGGGACCGAGAUAAUGAUAAAAAGAGACUGUCGGGGGCAUCCGUACUACGACGCGAGAGGUGAAAUUCUAUGACCGUCGUAGGACGAACAACAGCGAAAGCAUUUGCCAAGAAUGUCUUCAUUGAUCAAGAACGAAAGUUAGAGGAUCGAAGGCGAUCAGAUACCGCCCUAGUUCUAACCCUAAACGAUGCUGACUAGCAAUCCGCCGUCGUUAUUCCCAUGACGUGGCGGGCCGCUCCCGGGAAACCUCAAGUCUUUGAGUUCCGGGGGUAGUAUGGUUGCAAAACUGAAACUUAAAGGAAUUGACGGAAGGGCACCACCAGGAGUGGAGCCUGCGGCUUAAUUUGACUCAACACGGGAAACCUCACCAGGCCCAGACACUAGCAGGAUUGACAGAUUAAGAGCUCUUUCUCGAUUUGGUGGGUGGUGGUGCAUGGCCGUUCUUAGUUGGUGGAGUGAUUUGUCUGGUUAAUUCCGGUAACGAACGAGACUCUGGCCUACUAAAUAGUCGACGUGGUGGUUCGUUCGCAUGGCCACGUUCGAAUCUAUCUUCUUAGAGGGAUGAGCAGCAAGUGCAGCUGCAGGAGAUUGAGCA